UACGUAGGGUGCAAGCGUUAAUCGGAAUCACUGGGCGUAAAGCGCGCGUAGGCGGUCUGUUAAGUGGGAUGUGAAAUCCCCCGGGCUUAACCUGGGAAUUGCAUUUCAAACUGGCCGACUAGAGUACGGUAGAGGGAGGUAGAAUUUCCUGUGUAGCGGUGAAAUGCGUAGAGAUGUGGAGGAACACCAGUGGCGAAGGCGACUCUUUGGUCUGUAACUGACGCUGAGGCGCGAAAGCGUGGGGAGCAAACAGG
rnacentral:rRNA from 1 species